GGCGAGAUGGCCGAGCGGUCUAAGGCGCUGUGUUAAGGCCGCAGUCUUCGGACGUGGGUUCGAAUCCCACUCUCGUCA